rfam:Fusarium oxysporum f. sp. raphani 54005 unplaced genomic scaffold supercont1.27, whole genome shotgun sequence.
GACAACGUGUCCGAGUGGUUAAGGAGUUAGACUUGAACUUUAAAAUCAGAUAUCUAAUGGCUUCGGCCUCGUAGGUUCGAAUCCUGCCGUUGUCG